AAUAGAACUAUCUCUAUGAAGACACGUACAGCCGACUGGCUACACCUCCUCGCGGAAGCAGAUUGUAACUUCUUAAUAACGGAUUUUGAAACUCCCAGGACACAACAGUUACGAAGUUCACUGGCUCUGGGCUGCUAUGCCCUCCUGUCUGCGCUGAGGCCAUCACAAGAUAUUGGCUGGGAUGCUGCUACGGCUCCGUGAAAUGGUAAAGCCUCGAGCAGGAUUUGGUGCCAAAGGUAGAGGUACCCUUGCUGGCGCCACACGCGACUGGCGCUUCACAAGCCAUCCUCAAGUGCAGCAUACCAUCAGCUCAUUCUUAAAGAUGGAGGAAACAGCAGAGCCAAAAUAAGAGGAUGGGAUCUAUUUUCUCUACAAGGAAAGAAAGGAGCGACUGUCCCAAUAAAGCAACGGCAGAAUGGAUUUGCCUCUUACUUCUCUAUUUCCCAUUUUGAUGAGUGUCACCACUAUCUUCCCCGUAGCCCAAAGUGGAAACUGGGAAGCCAUCUGGAACUUCUUCUCCUCCAUCACUGUCCAAAUUAGUCAAUUAUAAGCAUUGUUUAUUCGACCUCCACUAUACGUCUCGCAUGUUCUUUUUAAAUCUCCUCUGCCCGACCCAGACGUGGCUUCACAUCAGAUAAUACUGCAAGUAAGGUUUAAGAGAUUAAGUCUCUCGGUGCCUCUCAUUUCUUAGUUUCAUUUCUUUUUAGGCACUUCUUACCGUUUUAGGUCAGCCUUUCUUACUUGCUGGACCAUGAUACCCCAGGCCUCUGUCACGGCCUUGUCACCAGUCUGCCUGCCUCCACUUUCAACUGCUUCCAAUCCAUACUUAUCAUUGAUAACGGAAUCAUCCCUAAAACAAUUUGGUCGUGUCAUAUCUGGGCUCAGAAAUCAAAUUAUUUUAGGUGUUGGUCUAAAUUCCUCCACACUGCAUUCA